GUAAUACCUCUGGACCAGUAUCAAGAUCAACUAAGAAGAAGGAUACUGGGUGAUUGGGAGAAUUUAGAAACAGAAAAACAGCUUCAAAUAUUUCAAGAUCGUCUUCAAUUAGAAAGAGAGAAUUUUAUGAGGAACAGCUUCAAAGAAAAACAAAAGAGAAAGAGCAGAUACAGCAAGAUGGAGACAAAGAGCAGCAACAGCUUCUUCAAGAAAAGGCAACACUUACUCAACAACUUAAUGAUGCUACCACUCUCCUUGAGCAAGCAGAAAAGGACAAAUCAUCUCUUGAAUUAGAAGAUUAUAAGAAGCUUAAAGCUAAAUUUGCUGAUAGUGAAGUAUAUAUAACUAAAAUA